UACGGGGGGGGCCCGCUUUUUUCUUAAUUACUGGGCGUAAAGGGCUCGUAGGCGGCCAACUAAGUCAGACGUGAAAGCCCCGGGCUCAACCUGGGAAUGGCGAUGGAUACUGGCUCGCUAGAGUGCGGUAGAGGAGAGUGGAAUUCCCGGUGUAGCAGUGAAAUGCGUAGAUAUCAGGAGGAACACCGGUGGUGUAGACGGCUCUCUGGACCGUAACUGACGCUGAGGCACGAAAGCGUGGGUAGCAAACAGG
rnacentral:rRNA from 1 species